UACGUAGGGGGCAAGCGUUGUCCGGAUUUAUUGGGCGUAAAGAGCGUGUAGGCGGCCAUACAGGUCAGCUGUGAAAACUCGAGGCUCAACCUCGAGACGUCGGUUGAAACCGUAUGGCUAGAGUCCGGAAGAGGAGAGUGGAAUUCCCGGUGUAGCGGUGAAAUGCGCAGAUAUCGGGAGGAACACCAGUGGCGAAGGCGAUCACCUGGGGUUGUUCUGACGCUGAGGAGCGAAAGCUAGGGGAGCAAACGGG
rnacentral:rRNA from 1 species